UUGGCUCAUGGAUCUGGAAGUUGA
rnacentral:piRNA from 2 species